rnacentral:rRNA from 1 species
UACGAAGGGGGGCUAGCGUUGCUCGGAUUGACUGGGCGUAAAGGGCGCGUAGGCGGCUUGUCGCGUCGACUGUGAAAACCCGCGGCUCAACUGCGGGCCUGCAGUCGAUACGGGCAGGCUAGAGUUCGGUAGGGGAGACUGGAAUUCCUGGUGUAGCGGUGGAAAUGCGCAGAUAUCAGGGAGGAACACCCGGUGGGCGAAAGGCGGGGUCUCUGGGGCCGAUACUGACGCUGGAGGGAAGCGAAAGGCGUGGGGAGCGAACAGG